CAAUUUAGCGAUUUUCCCGCCAUUCCUAGCGAUUUUGAAUAUAGAAAACCGCCAUAAAUUGUCAAUCUAGCGGCUAGCGGGAAGUCUAGCGUUUUUGACUUCAUGACCACUUUUACCAUUUCAACUCACUAAUUCAGCAUUUCAGCUAAAAAAUAUUGAAAUUUUGAGAAAAAAAAUCAAUGAAAUUCAAUUUUUGUUAAACCCAUCCACUCGAUUUCAUCUAUUCUUAGGUAAUUUUUGAAUAAUUUCACUGUUUUCCAGUUUUCAGUUAUUUUUGUACAAUUUUCAAAUUUUAACAAAAUGAAUCUUCAUCAGUUUUGUAUUUUUUACAUGGCUUGGGGUUAUAAAAAAUGAUGAAAAUCUAGCGGGAAGUCUAGCGAUUUUGCUAUAGGGAAUUUAGCGGUUUUUAGCGGUUUUUUAGGAUCAAUCUGGCGGGAUUUUUCAAUAUGACAUUGGCAACACUGCUCAGUUCACCGCAUUACUUCGAGCAAUAUUCCGGUGUUGAAUUUCUUCUUCUCGUAUUCCGUGGUUCGUGAUGCGAUCAUUUCUUGGAAGAUGAAGCAAUAAAAUCACGAGUAAAAUACUCCAGUCCAUCAUAGUAAAAGCAAUCUUUGAAACAAGGCCUGUACAACUGUAUCAAUGAUUCAUCGUAAAAUCAGUUUUUAGACAACCUGUACUUUCAAAAAAGUCGCCAGUUGAGUAAAACUCCAGCCCCUCGUCGCAAGAUUAAUUUAUCAAGCAACCUGUACUUCUACUCACAUCGAACUAUAUCAGCUGUUUCAAAAAAAUCACCAGUGAAUACGAGUAGGCACUCCAAGCCUUCACCGUAAAAAAUUUCUUAAACAACCUGUACUCAAAUCUGCAGUUAUAUUUCAAAGAAAAUGGCUGUACCUUUCGAAACGGAAAAUAACAACCCUCGUUCAGCUUUGGCCAUCAGACUGAAGGACUGCGUUCGGAGAAUGAUAGCGAGAGCGGUGAGCUCUUGCCAUUUCCAUAUACGGAGGAUCAUGGAGGAUAUCAAUGGUAUAAGAGCUGUCAUUAUACAACAACAAAAAGAGAUUUUGGAUACGCAGGGUACUCUAAACGUUGUAACCGUAACCGUAAACGGCCAGCAAAAAACCCAGAUGAAAUUGGAGCAGGAAAACAUUAUUCUUAAGCAGGAGAACGAAUGCAUCAAAAAAUGCAUUAAAGAAUUAAGGGACCAGAUGGAGGUACAUAAAAGCCUCAUAAAUGGGCUGGUCAACUUGACCACGCCCAAGCAAUGAUAACCAUAAUGAUAGCUUAGAAUUUAAGUAUAAAUAAUAUGUAGUAAAACUUUGACAUUAUUGUAGGUACUUGAGAUGUGCUUAAGCUAGACAUUUUAUUAAAAUGAUUUACUUUCA